CCUACGGGUGGCUGCAGUGGGUAAUAUUGGGCACUGGGCGCAAGCCUAACCCAGCACCGCCGCGGGAGGAAAUAAGGCCCUCGGGUUGUAAACUUCUUUUGUCGGGGACGAACCAAAUGACGGUACCUACCGCAUAAGCCACGGCUAACUACGUGCCAGCAGCCGCGUUAAUACGUAGGUGGCAAGCGUUAUCCGGAUUUCCUGGGUGUAAAGGGCGUGUAGGCGGGAGAGAAAGGCAGAUGUGAAAUUCCAGGGCUCAACCCUGGACCUGCAUUUGAAACUGUUUUUCUUGAGUGAUGGAGAGGCAGGCGGAAUUCCGUGUGGAGCGGUGAAAUGCGUAGAUAUACGGAGGAACACCAGUGGCGAAGGCGGCCUGCUGGACAUUAACUGACGCUGAGGCGCGAAAGCGUGGGGAGCAAACAGGAUUAGAUACCCCUGUAGUC
rnacentral:rRNA from 1 species